rnacentral:lncRNA from 1 species
GCCAUUCCAAGUGGUUAACACCCCAAUGGCCUACAACAUCAUUCUGGGAAGACCCCUACUAAACAAGAUCCAGGCUAUUGUAUCAACCUUCCACCUUGCCAUGAAGUUCCCCACAGGUCAUGGCAUCGGAGUAGUUAGAGGAAACCAAACGGCUACCAGACAGUGCUAUGUUACUAGCAUCCGAGGAAUGAGUACAGACGUCAUGCAACUUUCAGACCUCGAGCUCAAGCGAAGGGGCUGAUUGGCCCCCGUUGAAGAAUUAGAGGUGGUCGAGCUCGAGCACAGGAAAGCCGUCACUAUUGGUCGGGAU